CCUACGGGAGGCAGCAGUGGGGAAUAUUGCACAAUGGGGGAAACCCUGAUGCAGCAACGCCGCGUGAAGGAAGACGGUUUUCGGAUUGUAAACUUCUGUUCUUAGUGAAGAAUAAUGACGGUAGCUAAGGAGCAAGCCACGGCUAAAUACGUGCCAGCAGCCGCGGUAAUACGUAGGGGGCAAGCGUUGUCCGGAUUUACUGGGGGUAAAGGGAGCGUAGAGGGGAGGCCAAGUGAGCUGUGAAAGCUACGGGCUUAACGUGUAGACUGAAGUGGAAACGGGUUGUCUUGAGUGCAGGAGAGGUCAGUGGAAUUCCGAGUGUAGCGGUGAAAUGCGGAGAUAUUAGGAGGAACACCAGUGGCGAAGGCGGCUAACUGGACUGUAACUGACGUUGAGGCUCGAAAGCGUGGGGAGCAAACAGGAUUAGAUACCCGGGUAGUC
rnacentral:rRNA from 1 species